rnacentral:rRNA from 1 species
AGAAUUGACGGGCCCGCACAAGCAGCGGAGCGUGUGGUUUAAUUCGAUGUUACACGAAGAACCUUACCAGGGUUUGACAUGCAAGUGGUAGGAAGCCGAAAGGUGACCGACCCUUCGGGGAGCUUGCACAGGUGCUGCAUGGCUGUCGUCAGCUCGUGUCGCGAGAUGUUCGGUUAAGUCCGCUAACGAGCGCAACCCUCGCUGUGUGUUAUAUGUGUCACACGGGACUGCCGGUCUUAAGCCGGAGGAAGGUGGGGAUGAUGUCAAGUCAGCAUGGCCUUUAUAUCCUGGGCUACACACACGCUACAAUGGCCAACACAAUAGGUUGCUAAGCCGCGAGGUGGCGCCAAUCCAUAAAGUUGGUCUCAGUUCAGAUUGUAGGCUGCAACCCGCCUGCAUGAAGAUGGAGUUGCUAGUAACCGCAGGUCAGCUAUACUGCGGUGAAUACGUUCCCGGGGCUU